AUACGUAGGGGGCAAGCGUUAUCCGGAAUUACUGGGUGUAAAGGGAGCGUAGACGGUGAUGCAAGUCUGAAGUGAAAUGCGGGGGCUCAACCCCUGAACUGCUUUGGAAACUGUAUGACUUGAGUACCGGAGGGGUAAGCGGAAUUCCUAGUGUAGCGGUGAAAUGCGUAGAUAUUAGGAGGAACACCGGUGGCGAAGGCGGCUUACUGGACGGUAACUGACGUUGAGGCUCGAAGGCGUGGGGAGCAAACAGGAUUAGAUACCCUGGUAGUCCACGCGGUAAACGAUGAAUACUAGGUGUCAGCACGCAAGGCGUGUUGGUGCCGUCGCAAACGCAUUAAGUAUUCCACCUGGGGAGUACGUUCGCAAGAAUGAAACUCAAAUGAAUUGACGGGG
rnacentral:rRNA from 1 species